rnacentral:tRNA from 2 species
GGUCCCUUCGUCUAGCGGUCAGGACAUCGGCCUUUCACGUCGGUAACGCGGGUUCGAUUCCCGCAGGGAUCACCA